rnacentral:rRNA from 1 species
UGCAGUCGAACGAGAAAGUGGAGCAAUCCAUGAGUGCAGUGGCGUACGGGUGAGUAACACGUGACUAACCUACCCUCGAGUGGGGAAUAACCUCGGGAAACCGGGGCUAAUACCGCAUAACAUCUACGGAUCAAAUGCGUAAGCAGCUUGAGGAGGGGGUCGCGGCCGAUCAGCUAGUUGGCGGGGUAAUGGCCCACCAAGGCAAUGAUCGGUAGCCGGCCUGAGAGGGCGCACGGCCACACUGGAACUGAAACACGGUCCAGACUCCUACGGGAGGCAGCAGUGGGGAAUUUUGCGCAAUGGGGGAAACCCUGACGCAGCAACGCCGCGUGGAGGAUGAAGCCCCUUGGGGUGUAAACUCCUUUCGAUCGGGACGAUUAUGACGGUACCGGAUGAAGAAGCACCGGCUAACUCUGUGCCAGCAGCCGCGGUAAUACAGAGGGUGCAAGCGUUGUUCGGAAUUAUUGGGCGUAAAGGGUGCGUAGGCGGUGCGGUAAGUCUGUUGUGAAAUCUCCGGGCUCAACUCGGAGUCUGCAACGGAAACUGCCGUGCUUGAGUAUGGGAGAGGUGAGUGGAAUUCCCGGUGUA